rnacentral:rRNA from 1 species
UACGGGGGGGGCAAGCGUUGUUCGGAAUUACUGGGCGUAAAGAGCUCGUAGGCGGUCUGUUGCGUCCGCUGUGAAAACCCGGGGCUUAACCCCUGGCUUGCAGUGGAUACGGACAGACUAGAGGUAGGUAGGGGAGAAUGGAAUUCCCGGUGUAGCGGUGAAAUGCGCAGAUAUCGGGAGGAACACCGGUGGCGAAGGCGGUUCUCUGGGCCUUACCUGACGCUGAGGAGCGAAAGCGUGGGGAGCGAACAGG